rnacentral:rRNA from 1 species
UACGAAGGGGGCUAGCGUUGCUCGGAAUCACUGGGCGUAAAGGGUGCGUAGGCGGGUUUUUAAGUCAGAGGUGAAAUCCUGGAGCUCAACUCCAGAACUGCCUUUGAUACUGAAAGUCUUGAGUAUGGGAGAGGUGAGUGGAACUGCGAGUGUAGAGGUGAAAUUCGUAGAUAUUCGCAAGAACACCAGUGGCGAAGGCGGCUCACUGGCCCAUUACUGACGCUGAGGCACGAAGCGUGGGAGCAAACAGG